rnacentral:lncRNA from 1 species
GAACAUGGAACAUCGGGUACUGACGUCCAUCAAGCUUUUAGUCAAUAAGUGUAUAGUUUGUGUUAAUUUGGCUCACCUCAUCUCAUAACAAGUGAGGUGAACAUCAUUGGUACGUGAGCGAUAUCUAAUAAUUCAUCGAUUUGUUCUGAUUAUGCUUUACAUUAACGCCUAGUUUGAAUUUGAUACUUGACCUCUUUUAGAUUUGAUUUAGC